AAAUUUUCUCCCCACUACUCCUCAAUUCACCAUAACCUUCGAUCUCUUCGGAUUCUUCAGGAUUUGGAUCCUAUAAAUAGGCGUUCAAGGCUUCAUGGUUAUCACAGAAUCUUUGAUUUUUUCUACUCAUAACUCCAACACAUACCGGCGUGAAUAAUGGCUGCUCCCCAGAUCUCCCUUUCCGAGUUGAGGCCAGGACGUUGUGCUCGGAGUAACACGCCUCCGUCCCAAAUUGGAGGUCGUCUCUUUCUUAAUGCAACUUCUGGGUCACACUUCUACUUUGACGAUGAGGUGAUAGCAAGUCAAACUUUAUUCGAUGAGUUGUGUGCGACAAACGUAAGUGACUCCACCAGUGGUACCGAAUACGGUGGAGUCC